UCUUUCAGACACUCCUGUUACACCCGGUCUAGGGGAAACAUGAGCUCAACAUAACGCCGGUUCUCCCUUUUUCCCCCACUCCCAAUAAAGACAAUUGCUGCUGACGUUUAGUACACAAUAUUUAUUAUUUCACAAAAAGGGUUGGUAGAAAUAAACGUCAAGGUGAGCCUGGCCCAAAACAAUAAACAAAACCCUCUUAAAUAAUAUACUACCUUACCUAUUCCCAAAACAAACAAAAGAAAAUACAGGCAUCUUACCUCUCACCUUAAGGUGAGCAUGUUGUUGUGUUGCAGGUGAUCAACCAGUUGGUGUUCAUGCCGUAGUGAAGAUCCUGGGAAUCCUAAUGCUCGUCAGUACGUUGGUCAUCUUUGAGUGCUGGUUUAGAUCAAGACACUCAACCAAACCAGUGAAGGAUGCAGGAGAGGCAGACUAUGUCAACAGAGUGAUUGAGAUCCAAGCACCAUGAGCCGGAUGGAGAAGGAAGGUGGAGAUGGCGACGGAGAUGAAGAUGUCAUGUUCAAUAUCAAUGGAACCAGAUAUCAUUUCUUAUUUCCUGUUUCUAUGUGUCGGUGUGCCAUAAACAUGAAAGUCAAUCAAAAAUUAAAAAGCAUGACUUUGUUUGUAUACGUUUGAUUAGACGAACAAGAUGACCCCAGAUUUUGUGUGAAUAUAAAUGUGAAAUUCUCCUG